GACAGAGGGGGCAAGCGUUGCUCGGAAUUACUGGGCGUAAAGGGCGCGUAGGCGGGAUGGCAAGUCGGGCGUGAAAUCCCUCGGCUCAACCGAGGAACGUCGAUCGAUACUGCUGUUCUUGAGGAUUGCAGAGGAGACUGGAAUUCCCGGUGUAGCGGUGAAAUGUGUAGAGAUCGGGAGGAACACCGGUGGCGAAGGCGGGUCUCUGGGCAAUUCCUGACGCUGAGGCGCGAAAGCGUGGGGAGCAAACAGG
rnacentral:rRNA from 1 species